UAUGAUUCUCUUUAUUUUUAUUCUCAAUACUUUUUAUAUAGUUUUAAAAAUAUAUACAUAAUACCAUAAUAUGUAUUAAAUUAAAUUUUUCUAACAUACAAUUUAUAAUAAGCAGAGAUUUAUGAUUGAUAUUAGCUAUAAUUAGCUUUAACAUUACACAAGACAACCAAACCCAAAGCAACUAUAGCCACUUUAUUUUAUUUUAAAAAAGCAAACAUAUAUGAUAUGCUUUUUCUACAUUAUAUCAUUACAUAUAUUGCCUCCAAUAUCUCUGCUUCAACCUUUCAUGUGUUGCACUUCAUUUGCAGUUGCAAGGGUCACAAGUGCAGCUAUCACCACACUUGCAGCCACCAUCCUCAGCUGCAACACUCAUUUCAGCACCAUCAAACUGGAUCUUCGCCGGACCGACGCCAAGAAUCACGGUUUCUGUGGUUUCCAUUUCGGAGUAGCUCAAUCCACUAGACCUCUUGUUGCAUCUGCACAGCAAUAAAAAUCAAAAUAAUCCAAUAAAAUAUUAACAAAUUUUUUGCAAGAUUGAUUCUUAAGAAAAAAAAUAAAUACCAACAGAUUAAUAACCAUAUAGAAAAAAAUAAUUAUAUAGAUUUUAAUGUAAGGAAGAGUUAAGGUGGUGGAUCCUUACUUGCAGCUAUCACCACAGUUGCAACUGCUUCCACAACCACAGCUAGACAUAUUUUCAGAAACUAAGAUUUUUUUUGCAAACAACAAUUGAUAUUAAUUGCUUGGUUAGUGUUAUCUUCUAUAAAAGUGGUGUCUUUUAAUGAUGCUGUGUGACUCCAAUUUAUAAGGUGGAAGAGAAUAAUCAGUGAAAUCUUGACCGUCCACGUGUUGUAAUCUUGUGUUGUAUGGGUCCACAAGCCUACGCUUGGAUCAAUUCCUAGUAGACAUCGUUUUCAUUGCACGUCUUAUUGUGGUGUUGGCGAUAAAAUUGUUGCAUGCUUGCUGAUUGGUUUUCACAAAACAUGAUAUUUUAUUGAUUUUAUAAAUUUACUUUUAUUAACAAAUCAUAUUUGAAUAUAAAAGUCACCGCAACGUUUUUGCUUUUUGUACUUUUGGAGAAACAAUUGUUUGAUGAGAAAUAGAAUUUUGAAGCGGUAGGAUAAGUUUUCGGUACGAUAGAGAGAAGUUAAUAGUGAAAAAGUUAAAAAUAUAUAAUGAGGAAGAAUGAAUUUGAUUAUUUAAAAAUGACAUUUUUUUUCUUUUAUGGUUGAGGUGGUUAAAACCGCAAGCGAGGAGUGUGGCGUGAAUUGUCAUCACUGGUUCGAUUGAUCUGGACUGUUGAUAAUGUUUUAGAGGUGAAAUUGUCUAUUCUCAACGAGGAUGGAGGAACACUUGUUUCUCGCAUGCGCUCCUUUGCUUAGGUUUCGUCCAUUGCCUUGUGAGCGGCCACAAAUUGUUGUCCCCAAACCCUUGCUAUUGCUUUGUAAGAUACGUGUUUGCUAUAUACGUUCUAGACCGAUUGAUUGGCAUGAGGAGAUGAAGAGCUCUGAUGGGACAUCACUAUUAUUGGUAACAUACACAUUAAGUAUCUUUCUAGUAAUAAAUCUGAUGUGUGUUCCUAUGCUAGUUCCUAAUGAUUCUUCGUCUUCCUUAGAGAACUUAAGUACUUUGCAUAAUCUUUGAUGAAAUAUCGAUCGUCGAUGGUGCGUAGUAGAUCAUAUGAUCUCUAGUGGUAAAGGCACAUAUAAAAGAUCUCUAAAGCAUCAUUUUUCUAUUUAUUGUCAUCUGCAACCUGUGAAAGAUCUUAUUCUUGUCUUGCCAACUUCGUUCUUUAUCGAUAACUCUUUAAUUCUAGUUUCUUGCCUAAGCUCACAUGCAAUUUUCGUUUGGUGGCCUUUGAUACGCACACCAACCUACUUGUUUUAAGGUAAAGCCAAUGACUUAUUCUUGCUUUUGCCUUUUUAUAGUAUUUUUUGGACAAUGAGUUUUUUAGAAUGGACAUUCCAUCUUACAUAUUUUGCAAGGAAAUGAGGAUAUUUAUGUUGGACAAGCAUUAACUACCAUACAACGUAAUAUACCUACUAAGACUUCUGAGUCUCAUUUCCCUUGAAGGAGGAACACACAUACAUGUACUUUUUAACUAGUACAAUGACGUCCAUCGUGGGUCUUUGUAAAACUAUCAUAUGCCACACCGUGUUCAUCACCAUCACCCUGCAUGUUGUUACCCUUCACUCAUACACCUAGCCAUUUACAUCCAUGGCAAACAGGAGAGCUUCAUCCCCACACCAGAAGAUACCAGUAGUAUUGGUGAUGUCGAUGCUCUAGCAGAGAUGCGUGCCUCCAUGGAUGAGUUACGUCGCUAUAACCACACGCUGGAGGAUGAUGUCCACAAUAUCAAACAACGCCAAUAGGAUUCCAAUCCCUAGAGGAGAUGUAAAUGUUAGACCCCUAGCCGCUCUCAGAUGAGAUAUGGGGGAUAUAUGCCCCGAGGGUUUCAAACAUCCAUACUUGGCCAAUUUUGAUGGGCGCAAAGAUCCCUACGAGCAUGUCGCCUCCAUCAAUACAAAGAUGGCCAUUAUAGGAGUACCUGCCUCCCUGAAGUACAAGCUGCUAUCUAGCAUUUUUAGGGACGUCGCCCUUCGAUGGUAUAUGGGUUUAUCCGUGCCUCCAUCAACAACUAUCAUAAACUGGUAAAGAAGUUAGUACACCAAUUCCUCGCCACAGAAAGAUGUCCACCACACGCCUAUUUAACAUAUGUCAGGGUCCAUCAAAGUCUCUGAGGGGCUACUUCUACUGCUUUAACGAGGCCACCAUCAAGGUCGUCCCACCUAACCAAAAAUGUUUAUGGUGGCAUUCCAAAAUAGAGUUGAGGCAUAACAAUUUAACGAGUCCCUCCCCCAUAAGCCAACAUUUUAGUUGGCAGAAGUGGUCACUAGAGUAGAGUCCUACAUAAAGGGUGAUGAGAAUAACAAUGAAAAAAAGGCGCACGAUGUCAAAGAGCACGUUCCCAAGGUCGGUGGCUCACAUCACCAGAGGAAGAGAAAUUAUACCUCAACCAUAAGCCAACAUUUUAGUUGGCAGAAGUGGUCACUAGAGUAGAGUCCUACAUAAAGGGUGAUGAGAAUAACAAUGAAAAAAAGGCGCACGAUGUCAAAGAGCACGUUCCCAAGGUCGGUGGCCCACAUCACCAGAGAAAGAGCAACUAUACCUCACCCAAAAAGGACCAUACUACAUUCAAAAGGGUAGGUAAGGUGGCAGAGAACUUCAAACCCUUGAACACUCACCACGAGCUAAUCUGGUACGAGGUUCUCCACCUUCACAACAUCCCUCUGGCGCCUACUCCUAAGACAAAUGUGAUGGGUUCUGAAUUGUUUAGGUGGUGCAAGUUCUAUAUUAUCAAGGGACACCACACCGAAGAUUUCUACUAACUCAAAUAGGAAAUCACUAGAUUAAUACAUGAGGGAAACCUCAAGAAAUAUGUGAGGCGCAACUCCCCCCAUUCGGAAAAUAAGUAUAACCCGCGAAGGCGAGACGAUGUUGGAAGCCCUAGACCCAAAAAAUCCCAAGAUGAUCUUUAAGAAGUAGGUAGUAAAAAUGCGUACCACACACUUAACACCGUAGCUUAAGGAUUAGCCAGGGCAGGGAAACCAACUCCGCCCAAAGCAGGUAUGCUCGCCAGAUCCUGAGUAUGGAAAACCUCCUUAAAGUUAAGACCGAAAGCAAGCGCCAAAUUCACAAGCCAUGAUCGCCUUCUCGGGGAAAGAUGCAGUUGUCAUCCAUCCUCUUAACUAUGACCCCGUGGUCAUUACCGUUAAGUGCGAAAGUUAGGGAAUUAAAAGAGAUAACAUGUACGUGUACGUGUAAAUGGGCAUAUCACCUUGAGGAUCACUUUUAGAUAGCAGGAAAAAGAGAUAAAAGUCAAAUAUCUGGUUAGUGAUGCCCCUUCUUCGUAUAAUAUGAUUAUAGGGCGACCGACCUUUAACCUGCUGGGCGACACCUUGUGAAAUAUGUAUUUGUGCAUGUCUCGAAUAGUUCUUUAUAGAAAAUAUUUGUUUGUUGGUUGAUUUUAGAGAAUAAUGUUUAGGUCGCAUUCAAGCGGUUUAACAUCUACUUGUAUGCUCGCACUAUGGAGGCUGGAUCAUCUGUUUAUAAUUCGUGUAGCAAUGGAUAAAACACUAUUCUUUUAUGAAAAAGUUUAUUUUGAUUGCAUCAGAGUAAAAAGUUAGUUUGGUGAGCUGAGAUUGAUUUUAGGUGGAAGACGAGUAACUGGUUCCAGCAAAGUGUACACUAAGCCUCCGAUACUCGAGAAACAAACAAAAAUACAUUCACCUGCUCCCUUUCUAAUCCAAGUUAAUUUAUAUAUAUUUUUUUAAGUUAACUAAUUACGUUCAUUAUAAUUGAUUCAGUUUUGAAAAUGGAUUUGAUGUAGGUUAACUUGUAAACAUGAUGAUUUAAUUGAAAAUAAUUUGAUUUUUCUUAUUUAUUGUGACAACUAUUCAAUUUGAUUUUUUAUGGAGAAUAAAAAUAGAUUUUUGAUUAUUAGCAUUCACAAUGUUCAUAAAAAUCCUGAAAUCAUCAAUUUAAUUAAUUAUAAAAAAAACAAAUAGCAAAAAUUUAAAACAAGAAAAGGGUGCAAACAAAGGUAGUAAAUUAAAACAAUGGUAUUGAAGUCAAAAAAUACAAAAAAAAGGGAAAGAAAUAAAGGGGGCGUGUGGUAAAAGAGGAGAAUGCCUAAUUGAGAGGGGCCCAAAGCUGGUCAAUAGGGGAAAGGGAGUUGACUUCGUGUGGGCCGCCUGAUUGCAUCAAGCGACCAUGAUGCGUUGUGCAUGAUAAGGCUAGUGAAUGGGGUAGUGUAGGAUCAUGGGAAAGAGAAAAGGAGGGAUCACGCCAUGUGGCGCAUUAUCUGCCACAUAAACUAGUCAAUAGUCAACUACAACAAACGGCCCAGAUUAAUUAUGAAUUUAAGCUUCUUCUUCCCCACUCAUGCAAGGCCAAUUGCACAAUAACAACAUCAAUGACUACUUUUUCUUUGAAAAUCACCUAAUAUGCAUAUAAUUUAACAAAUAAAUAUGCAAAAUUCAUCUAUGAAUCGUCAUGAACAUGAAUCCAUGAUCAAAGUGUAUUAAUUAACAACAAAAAAUGGUGAGAAUUAGGAUUUAAAGUAAACCUGAAUUUGAUUGAGUGGCUCGAUCCGGCCAUAACUUGAUGUUUUGAAUCACUUUGCAUUUUUUCUUCAAACGGUUGAUUUUUUAAUUUUCCGGGUUUUUGUUCUUGAAUGUUCAUGAACACUCAUGAACAUCAAUAACACUAAGAACACCAAUUUUUCAGAAAUUCAUAUUUCAAUUUAUUUUGAACAAAUGAUUAAAGGAUAUAAAACAUAGUAAGUGUAGAAACAAUUUUAUGUAAAAAAAAUCACACAAAAUACAAUGGUCAAGCCUUACCUAAGCGAAAAAACCUCAAGAAUGCGAUGAACACUGAUGAGCAACCCAAAUUCCGAUCAAGCUCCAAUAUUGCUCCAUCUAAACUCGUUUUUCAUGUCUCUUUGUAGAUCUAAACACCUAUUUAUCUUCUAUACCUCAUUCCAUCAUAAUUUCACAAUUUCUACAUUUUUUUUCAAAAUCGAGUUCAAAAUGGAUUUGCGCGAAUUUGAGUUUUGGUGUAGUUGUGUGUAGUUUUUUUUUGUCUAUACUAUGUAAUUGGACUCAUAUUUAUAAUAAUUUUCAUGUUAACAUAAAAGGAAAACAAGUCAUAGUGACAAAUCGCGACCAAUUAAAAACAAGCAUGACAAAUUGCGACCAAUUAGAAACAAGUAUGACACAUUGCAACCCUUUGAACAUGUAUGAUCAAAGAUCGUCGUCAACCUGAAAGAUCGGUGCUUAGAUCAAAGAUAAAAAUAUCUUCGUCAACCCGAAGGUCGAUGCUUACAUCAAGGAUAAAAAGAUCGUUGUCAACUCGAAGGUUGAUGCUUAGAUCAAGGAUAAAAAUAUCGUUGUUAACCCGAAGGUCGAUGCUUAGAUCAAGGAUAAAAAGAUCGACGUCAACCCGAAAGUCGAUGCUUAGAUCAAGGAUAAAAAGGUUGUUGUCAACCCAGAGGUUGAUGCUUAUAUCAAAGUUAAAAAGAUCAUCGUCAACCCGAAAGUUGAUGCUUAGAUCAAACAUGAAAAGAUCAUCGUUAACUUAGAAGCUUGAUGCUAAAAUCGUGGGAUAGGUCGUCGCCAACUCAAGGGUCAGCGCUUGGACCUACAAAUGAGAAAAGAUCACCGUCAACCCAAAGGUCGAUGCUUAGAUCAAAUAGGAAAGGAUCAUCGUUAAUAUGAAGAUUAAUACUUAGAUCAACAUAGGACAAGUUUGUCAUCAACCCGAAGCUCGACGUUUAGAUCACGGUAAAGUGAUCAUCGUCAAUCCGAAGAUUGAUGCUUAGAUCAAGGUGAGAUAAAUCAUCACCAACCAAAGGGUCAGUGCUUAGAUCGCACAUGAUAAGAUCAUCAUUAACAUGGAGGUUGAUGAUGCCUUAGAUCAUUACAGGACAAGAUCGUCGUCAACCCGAAAGUCAAUGCUUAGAUGAAGACAAACUGAUCAUCGUCAACCCAAAGGUCGAUGCUUAGAUCAAGGAUAAGAUCUAAGAAUGAUGAUUAGAUUAACAGAUAGAUCAUGGCCAACCCAAAGGUUAAUCCUUAGAUCAAACAAGAAAAUAUCUUCGUCAACUUGAGAGACCACACAAAUUCAAAUCAGUCGGAAAUUCAAGUGGAAGCAGUUGAGAAAGUUACGAUUGGUACAAGCACGAAAGAAAGUUUUUCUGUCAACUAGUGCAAUAUUGAAACCACACCACCAAAACUAGAUAAUAUUGAGAGACUAUCAAUUAUAUUCGAAAGUAUUCCAAACCCGUUCCUGGAUAUUACAUUAAGUCAUGAUCCAAGUCAAUUAUUUGUACUUUCUAAGGAUUCAAAUAAUGAAGAUUUGAAGGGACAUGAGUACCUAGACAAUUCCAUAUUACAAAUUUGGUGUUCGUAAGUAUAGCUUUUAUGUUGAUUUUUAUUUAUAUUCAUAAGUUCUUGUACAUUAACAUAAAGAUUUGACUCUUGCAGGUUCAUGCAUGAGUUCUGUGUUGAAAGUAAUACAAAUAAGUAGUAUUUCUUAGAUCCAUCGCGGCUUGGUCUUACUCACGGUUCGACAGGAAACAAUAUCUUUGUUUACAUACAAGAAAAGUUGAAAGAGAACAAAGAGUAUUAUUUGGUCCGUUUUUACUGUGAGUAAGUAUAUAUUAAUUUGUAUUUUCCUUUAUAAAUCAAAUUUAUACAUAUUAUUAAUUAUUCUGAAUUUUUAUGCAUUGAACAUUGACAACUAAUUGUUAUAUGUCCGAGGAAAAAUGUUAUAAUUGUGUUUUGCUCGUUGCGCUUUGUGCUGCCUAAAGUUGUGGUUAACACUUUGAAUGCGUAAGUGGUAUUAUUCUUAAUAUUCAAAUUUUAAUUUUAGAUUUGAAUAGUUUCUAUUCAUUUUUAAUUUUAACCAACAUGUGUAGAAUGAUUGAAGAACAUAAUGCAAUCAAACAAAAUUUACUUGGUUAAAAGCCAAACUAUGGAUAUCCAAAAGUAAGUAUACUACUUGUGCUUUUUGACUGUAUUAUUUGUGUGUAUUAGUGGUAUAAAUAUAUGAAAUUAUUCGUAGUGACGAAAACAACCCAACAACUAUUCUUGGGGAUACUAUGUUAUAAGAUAUAGACAUUACAAAUGGAUGGAUGAAGCACCAGGUAUACAUAUAUAUACACAUAUUUAUAUUUCUUAAGUUAAUGUUGUUGUUGUUAGCUUAUCGUAGUUUAAAGUUUGUUUUAAUUAUGAGUUUAAUGACAGAACACCAUACUCAAAAGAAGAUAUAAAUGACAUCCGAUCACAUUGGAUCAUUGCCUUCUAUUCAUUUUUUUUUGAAUCUUGACAACAAUAAUUUUUCUUGGUUGUUAUAAUAUUAAUUUGUAUAUGUACAUAGGUUUUGUCAUUUUUAUAUGCAAAUAUGUAAAUGUGUGUAUUUUGUAUUGAUGAGAAUAAUGUAAAUGUGUACAUUUGGUUUUGAAAGCAAUGAUAAUUUAUUAUUAUGUAUUUAAAAGAUUUAAAAUGAUAUGAUAUAUUUCAAUUUUGUCAUAUAUUUUGUAAUUUCUAUAUAAGAAAUGAUACAGGUCAGUGAAAAUAAGAUUUACAACAAUGUAAAUUUGAUAUUAUGUGUUUACAGGCUAAUGAAAAUAAGAUUUAUAAUGAUAUGAUACAAACUAGUGAAAAUAAAAUUUAUAAUGAUAUGAUACAAGCCAGUGAAAAUGAGAUUUAAAACAAAUUAUAUAUGAAAAUAAAUAAGAUUUAACCCCUCGAUUAUCACCUAAAAUCAAAGUAAAAGUAUACCUUAUUACCUCAAUUUUAAAUAAAACCGAGAGGUAUAUGACACACGCAACAAAAUUUGGAAAAUAAAAAUAUGUUAUUGCUAGGGAUCGAACCAAUGACCAUUUACUUUCUAAAAUCGAGGAAAAAAUGGCAAGUUAUCAUGUCACCCUUCGUUACCUCGUAUGUGUAAUCGAGAUAAAAGUCAUUUCGCGACAGAGAUAAGAUGUGUUAUUUAUAAUAGUGUUAUCAAUUGGAUAUGGCAAGAUCACGGGAAAGAGAAAAGGGGGACAACUACAUGUGACACGAGAUCUGACACAGAAACUAGUCAACAAACAACUGCAACGAAUGGUCCUGAUUACUUUUGGAUUUAAGCUUCUUUUUCCCUACUCAUGCAAGACCAAUUGCACAACAACAACAAUGAUUAUUUUUUCUUGGAAAAUCACCAAAUAUGCAUGGAAUUGACAAAUAAAUAUGCAAAAUUCAUCUACGAAUCAUCACGAACAUGAAUCUAUGAUCAAAGUGUAUCAAUUAACAAUAAAAAAUGACAAAAAUUAGAAUUUAAAAUGAAUUCAAAUUUGACUUUGAGGGACUCAAUCCGGCCAUAACUUAGUGUUUUAGACCAAAAAUAAUAAUUAAUUUAAAAAUAUAUACAUAAUACCAUAAUGUAUAAGAUUUGUCUAAACAUACCAUUUAUAAUAAGCAGAGAUUUAUGAUUGAUAUUAGCUAUAAUUAGCUUUAACAUUACACAAGACAACCAAACACAAAGCAACUAUAGCCACUUUAUUUUAUUUUAAAAAAGCAAACAUAUAUGAUAUGCUUUUUCUACAUCAUAUCAUUACAUAUAUUGCCUCCAAUAUCUCUGCUUCAAACUUUCAUAUUCAUUUGCAGUUGCAAGGGUCACAAGUGCAGCUAUCUCCACACUUGCAGCCACCAUCCUCAGCUGCAACACUCAUUUCAGCACCAUCAAACUGGAUCUUCGCCGGACCGACGCCAAGAAUCACGGUCUCUGUGGUUUCCAUUUCGGAGUAGCUCAAUCCACUAGACCUCUUGCUGCAUCUGCACAGCAAUAAAAAUCAAUUAUACAUAUUAAUAUAUGUUUUUAAUUUAUGGACGGCUAAAGGGAAACCUUAUCUUAUUUUAAUACCAUCAAAAAGCUUUUUAAGAUAUUCAAGUGACAAUUGAUUCAAUAUUGGCCAUCAAUUCAUAGUCUUUAGACAGUUAAAAUCUGAAAGAGAAAAAUCUAUGGAGAGAAUUAAAGACAAAAACUUUUGUUUUCUUCUUUUGAGGCAGCUAAUAAAAGACAUAACUCUUUACAAAGUAUCUACUUUUCUUGAGUAGUGAUAAAUCUUUUCAAAAUAUUCUAUAUUUUUGACAAAUAACCAAUAAGAUUGUUGGGUUUAUAUUUUAAUUUAAAACUUCUUAAUUUUAAAAAGUAAAAAUUUAUUUUAGAUUUAAAUUGUCUAAUCCCAAUAAUCAAAUUUCUUAAAACAUUUCAUGUCAAUAAAUCUGAUUUUUAAAUUUUUAAAUGAAUUUAUUUUAAAUUUAAAUUGUUUAAUAAAUUUAAAAAAUCUGAAUUAUAAAAAUCAGGUUAAUCAAUUAUUCAGUAAAUAUGAACUUUAUUUUAAUUUUUGUUUAGAAUAAUAAUAAGAAUGAGGAUAGUCAAAAGUAACCAUAAAAAAUGGAAGUAUCUAAUUUCAUAAAACCCAACCAAAAAGUACUUAAAAAAUACAAUAUUAUAUUAACAAAUAUAUGUAAGAUUCAUUCAUAAGAUAAACAAUAAACUCGAAAGAAUUAAGGUGGUGAAUCCUUACUUGCAGCUAUCACCACAGUUGCAACUGCUUCCACAACCACAGCUAGACAUAUUUUCAGAAACUAAGAUUUUUAAUGGUGCUGUUAUCUUCACUACAAUUGAUGUCUUUUAAUGGUGCUGCGUGCCCUCAAUUUAUAAGGUGGGAGAGAAUAAUUUGUGAAAUCUUGACCGUCCACGUGUUGUAAUCUUGUGUUACUUGGGCCCACAAGGCUACCCUUGGAUUAUUUCCACGUAGACAUCGUUUUCAUUGCACGUCUUAUUGUGGGGUUGGCGAUUAAAUUGUUGCAUGCUUUGCUUCAAGUCAAAUGUGAUUAGUGUCUUAAUUGGUUUGCACAAAAAUUGAUUUUGAAUUUAUUUUAAGAAAUUUAUUGCACUGAAAUAUUAAGUUUAAAGGUGGGUUAGAAUUCGUGGUUUCAAGGAAAGACUAUUUUAGAGAUAAAGUUAAGGCCUCUUUUGUUUUGGUUUCUUUAAAUGAUUUUUUUAAUGUUAUAUAAUUUUGAUAACAAAAAUUUAUAAAAAAUGUAUGAUGUUAUUGUCAUAUUGUAUAAAAUUAAGAGCUUUUUUUUGAAAUUGUAUAAUGUACUAAAUUCUAAAAAGAUUUAUCUAAGAUAUACAAUAUACACAUUGUAUUUUUUUUCCAAUUCUCUUUGUCUCCUCCAUUUAUCAUCUCAUUUGUUUUUAUCAUCAUCACAAUAAUCACUUUCUUUUAUUUAUUGUGCUUUUGAUAAUUAUUUUUUAAAAUUUUACUUUACUUUUAUUAGUAACAUGUGGUUAUAUUUUCGUGACAAGUGUGAAUGAAAUUGAUAUCAAUAGAUUUGCAACACUCGCACAUAAUCAUCCACAUACAAUGGACAAAAGUGGUAUCGUGGUAUUAAAUUGACGGAAUAGCUUUUUUAAGGAUAGAUGGAGAUAAAUACUAAAUAUGGUUGUUUUGUUUGUUGCUUAUGUAUUGUGUCAUUACAUCAUAUUUGUACAAGGGCAUGCAUGGUAGCAACAACUUCUGAUGAAUUUUUUUAUAAAAAAAAAUUAGCAACCGCAAGUGCUUUUGUAUUUUUUUUGAUAUUGAUGCAAAAUAUAUAUGAAAAAAAAUAAUGAAAUACUAGUGUCAUAGUUUUGAUCAAAAUGUGUAAAUUUUUUUUUUAAAAUUGAUCUCUGUGGAUCUCCACGGGGAUCUGUGGGGAUGAAGAUGCAAAAAAAUAUUCUCCUAUGACGGGGAUCGAGGACGAGAAUGGAGAAUAAAUUGGGAGGCGGGUGGGGAGAUGGAAAUCAUCCUCCAAACAUUCUCUACCCGUUGACAUUCCUAAUUAAAAUUUUCCAAGGUCGAAUUCAAGACCCCGUACCUUUAUGGUUGUGCGAAUGAAAUUUUAAUAAUUAUUAUGUUUAAGAUAUUAAACUUGUAUCAAUGAAUUUUUUAAAUAAUUACUCAUUCCGUUCCUUUUUAAGUGUCACUUGAAAAAAAAAUUGUUCCAUUUUAAAUGUCACUUACAAAGUUCAAGGUAGUAUUAACUGUAUUUUUGUCAAAAUUACUCCUACGUAAUUAUUACAGAGAGAAAAAGUAAAAUGAAUGUAAUAAAUAAUUAAGGGUAUUAUAGGUAAAAGAAUAAUUAUUGUUUGAAAAAUAUCAAUAAUGAUUAACUUUCUUGAUAUGUGUAAAAAGUUAAAAAAUGACACUUAAAAAGAAACAGAGAGAGUAUUGUUAAUUUGUCUACAAAUAAAAUAAAAUAAAAUUCAAACAUACCUCCAUCAAUUUAAAUGCUUUUAUUUUGGAUUAAAAACAAGCAAUGUUCAUUCAUUUAAAUUGAUCGAAUAUACUUAAUAAAAAUAAUACAAAUUCUAUUAAAAACGAAAAGAUUAAAAGUGCGAACAAACUCACAUAAUCUAAGUUAAUAGCAUAAAAUAACAAAUUGUGUACAUACAUGACUCGUGUUCUACAAUGUUGAAGAUGGAGGGAUAUUGCUACAAAAUACGUUGCGAAAAACAAUUUUUUUAAGUCGAUCCUUACGAAAGAACUUGAUCAAUAAUAAGAUGAUUACCUCUUGUGGUGAUUUUCUAUUGAUGCAAAAUAUAAAGAGAGAUCUUGAGCAUUGGACUAACGACAACACCUCUAUUCAGUCCACAAAAUAUAAUGUUUUCAAUCUCUGUGCUAGCUGAUCUGAAUGAAGAGAGAGAGAGAGAGAGAGAGAGAGAGAGAGAGAGAGAGAGGAGAGAGAGAGAGAGAGAGAGGAAGAGAGAGUCCAAGAUUAGAGAGAGAGAGAGAGAGAGAGAGAGAGAGAGUCCAAGAUUCUUAAGUGUUAGAUUUUUACAAAUUAAAUUUUGUCAAGCAUGAAUACUUCAACACAAAUGUUCUAUUCAUAGAACCGCUUGUGUGGACUGCAAGCUUAACAAGUCCACUUAAGCAUACCGUACCUUAUAAUGUACCGUAUUUCACAUAGUACCUUAAGAUGUUAUAUAUUCCAUUUAAAUACAUCAUAUAUUACAAUGUUAUGUAUUUUACUUAAGCAUAACAUAGCUUACGAUGUUCCGUGUUCUACUUAAAUAUACCAUACCUUAGGAUGUUUUGUAUUUCACUUAAGCAUAGUGUACCUUACAAUGUUCCACAUUUCUCUAAUUAACACUUGUGAAUUAUAAGACAACAAAAUCAAAUAGGAUUCACUUAUUUAUUUUAUCUCUCAUAAUCUGUUCUUAUGCGAGUGACCCUAUAUGUCUCGUAACAUUAAUAGUUAUAUUAAAUCACACAUUUAAUAUAAUAAAUAACGAGCAAUAUUUAGAUACACACCACUACUACCAAAAUAACAAAUAAUGUCAUGUGAUAUGAUGAAACAUUUCCAUGAUAUUAUUUAUGGAUAAAAUUACCUUUUUUUUUAUCUUAUGUAUAUAUUGAACACAAGACAUAGAUUGUGUCACCGUUGCCUAAUUCAAUAUUGAGCCUAAAGACAUUUAUCUUGUUAUACGUGACAUGAAAAUUAAAUCUAGGUCACUCACGUCCAUUAACAUAUUUUAUGGAGUACCUAUCAACACUAUCUUUAUGGUUAUCGUAUUACGGAUAUCGUUUGAAUGAUAAUGAAGUAUUUGACUCCACAUUCACAGACCAUGGUAAAUUCAGAUUGAAAGGUGGUAUACACCAUUAUCCCAAAGAGAAUAACUUAUGACACUUGCAUAAUAUUUUAUUUAGUAUUCUCAUUGUAAAUAAGUCUUAUAUAAAUAUUACUCAUAAUAUUUAGACAUAUGUGAAAAUUUGAUAACUCUCUAUCUAUGAUCCAUGAGACAUGAUCAUCAAUUUAUCCACAUAAUAAUCUUAAUACUUUAAUGUUAUCCCACUUUACAAUAAACUUGAUUGUAGAUACUUUAAGAAUAAUACCUUUAUGUUUCAUGAUGUCUCAUGAUUAAGUAACACUUAAUAUUUCUUCAAAUCGACUAACUACUCUAAGUACUUUAUUACUUUAAAAAACAAACAUAAUAAACUUAUUAUUAUUAUUAUUAUUAUUAGAGUUGAAUAUGUUUGUAGUCCGCCUAAAUAUCUCAAUCUUCAAUUUAAUCUCUCAAAAAUUUUAUUUAAAGAAUGAUCCUGUUAAUACUUUUCAUCCACGCUUUUGGUCUCUCCUGCUAAAGUUUAUUAAAAGAAACUGACAUGGCAUGUUAUAUGAAAAAAUUUAUGAUUGGCCAAACAUGUGGUAAUGCCAGCGUGGUAAGAUGCUUACAUGGAUGCCACGUGCCUUUUGUCACCCAUUUUAUAAUUUUUAUAUUAAUAAAAUUUCUAGUGAUAUAAUUUUUUUCCGCUAAAUUCGCCGCUAACAUGAGCAUCAUACCAAAACCCAAAAACCGUAGUUAAUAUGUGGCUAAUCCGCAACUAAUCCUUAGCUAAUUCAAAUACAUCAUUCUUAUGACCUAAACUUCAUUUUUUUAAUGAUUUUUGACAUUAAAGUUUAUCAAAUCAUAAGGAUCUCUCUAACAAUUUAUUUUUUGACUUGAGAUGAAUCAAAUAUAAAUUAUUUAACUGUCGAUUUUCCAUGAAACGAAAACAAUGCAAACAUUUGAAUAUGAUUCAACUUUAAAGGAUCUGCAAAGUUUCAUGGUAUUUUAAAUAAGUUUCGAUUUACUUUUAUUUUCCGAUCGAAACACGUAUAAAUGUGUUUUUUUCAAGAGACAAAACAACAUAUUUAACCCUAUCAGUGGUAAAAAGGGUGACAUAAUUUAAUUAUUGUCAUGAUCUUUUUUGCAUGUUAGUGUAUACUAUUACAAGGAUCUCUCUCACAAAAAUUGAAUUUUGUUUGAUGUGAGAGUAAUUAAAUAAGUUUUUUUUUUAAUUGCCGAUUUUUCAUGAAACACAACUAACGCAAACUUUUUCAUAUGAUUGAAUUUUGAGCUAAAAUUUUGUAGAACUUACUACAUAACACAUAAAAAUGAUUUGAAGAUUUUUUGUGGAAUUUUGAUUGAUUUUAGCUUAUUUUGAUUUAUUUUCGCCUCUUGAAAAAACACAUUUAUAUGUGUCUCGAUCGAAUAAUCAAAAUAAAUCGAGAAUUAUUCAUAAUGUAAUGAAACUUUUUAGAUCAUUUUUAUAUAUUUUGAGAUAAGUCCCUGCAAAAGAAUAGUUUAAAAUUCAAUCAUAAUUCAACUUUUACCUUGUUUUCGUUUCAUAGAAAAUCGGUGCUUAAAAAAAUUCAUAUUUGAUUAAUUUCAAAUAAAAUAAAUUAAACUUUUAUGACAAAUGUUUAUAAUGUGAUAAACUUCCAUGCAAAAGAUCAUUAAAAAAAACAAAGUCUAGGUCAAAAGAAUGUUGUAUUUGAGUUAAUUAGAAAUUAGCUACGGAUUAACUACAAAUUAGCUGUAGUUUCUGAAUUUCGGUAUGAUGUUCACGUUAACGACAAAGUUUCUAUCGCAACAAAUUUUAUUAAUAUAAAUAAGAUAAAUUAGUGACAAAAUGCCAUGUGUCAUCCAUGUUAGCAUCUUUGUCACACUGACAUUGUCACGUGUAUGCUUUGAAAUGAAAAGUUUUCAUUGUCAUGCCACACCAGCAUCUGUUAACAAACGUUAGUUAGAGAGACCAAAAGUAUGGAUGAAAAAUAUUAUAAAGACCGUUUUUUGAAAAGAAAAAUUUGAGAGAUUAAAAGUGAAGAUUGAAAUGUUUAGGAGGACUACAAACAUGUUUAAAUCUUAUUAUUAAUAGAUAAUUCGAUAAAAUAUCAAGAUGUAAUAAAAUUAUAAGUCUCUAGAACUUACACCAAUAAAAAACGUCAAAAUCAUUGAUGGAAUAAGCCCUUAAUUAGAAUCAAAUGAACACUACGACAAAACUACUAAGAAAAAAUGCAGCACAAAAUUGUAAUAAAUUAACAAAAUUCCAUACAAAAAUUUAAAUAAUAAUAAUAAUAAUAAUAAUUUAUUUAAAUAAAAACCAAUCAAGAUUAAGGUGUUUUACUGACCCUAAAUUACCUCUCUUUUAUAGAUGACAAAGAAGACAAAACAAAACCUUUUUUUAAAGAGACUAAUAAAUCUAUUUUAUCCUAUUUAUUUAAAUACUUCAUUCCUAUGUUUUAUUUAAAUACUACAUUCAUAUGUUUCUCCGCUCAUAGAUGAUACUUUGUUUGGAUAGAUAAAUAUUUUAAUAUGGAUAAGGAUGAAUGGAUUUGUAAAAAAAUAAAUAAUAGUCUUUGUCAUGAUAUUUGAUGUUCUAUAUAAUUUAUUUGAGGAAAGAUCUAAACAUGCAAGAUGGGGAUUUAAGUUGCGUUUAGUUAAAAAAAAAAAAACUUAACUAAAUCGUUUCUCUAAUGGGAGAGCUACCUCUUGUCUCUCUACAACCCUCGAAUUUCACCUUUAUGCAUAAAGAAUCUAGUCCACUAUAACCAAACAUGAAUGCAAGUAUUCUAUACGCCUCUUCAAGGUCUAUGUAUUCUUUAACUAAACUUAUCAUGGAUUCUUUCAACAAAAUAAUAAUGGUUAACAUGUAUUCUUUCACCAAAAUAAUAAUGGUCAUUUUGUCAACCUUAAUAAUAUUUUAUUUUUAUUCUUGAGUUUUUUUUAUUAAAAUAUUUUUCAUUACGAUUUAUAAUAAUAAUUGUGACAAUAGAUUAAAGAUUAUGAAAUUUGAAUUCCAUCAUCAAUAUUUUUUAUUUAUUUUUUUUAUAUAAAAAAAGCAUGUGUCCCUUGACUUAUAUACUUAUAUUAUUAAAUAAAAAUUAAAAAAUAAUUAAUUACAGUUAUUUUAUCAACUUAUAUGUUUCAUAUUUCACUAUGAUUGAUAUUAACAACUAUGGUGAAAUUCUUUAUUGCAAAAUUAAAAUAUAACAUGUUCUUCAUUUUCUUCAUAACACAUGUCCUAACGAUCCAGACGACAGCGACAACAAAAUCUUCAGCAUCUUCAUUUAUUUGGAACAUCCAGUCUUCACUCUCUUCAUUCAUUAUUGAUUGAUCCCUCGUAAGAAUUCACAUCCUAGAUCCAAAAUAUUUCAAGGAAUGUUAAUUCUUCAAAAGCUUAGAAGAACUCAACCUAUCCACCUUCCUCUGUAUCCCCUCCAAGAAGGUAUGUUCAUCCUUAGUCAAGAUGUUCUACUCAAAUCUUCACAUCAUAGAUGGAAUACCUUAAAUUGAAGUAAAGAAGGCAUAUAAUAACUCUAUCAGUAGAAGAAUUUGGAAAUAUUCUAAAUAUCCAUAAUGAAGAUCCCAUUGUCGAACUCGGAGACAAAGCAGAAAAGUACAACCACCAGCUCACUGCAUCCUCUGUUAUGAAGGAUCCAUCACCCAACAUGCCAAAUCCCUUCACUGCUGGAUAUAUCCACCUUGAAAGUCAUAUGAUUCACUAUGUGAUCAAUCUCAUACUCUUUUCAAGAAAAAGCAACUUCAUCCUCAUAACCCAAGUUGAUGUAGAAACAAUAUCGUUAAUAGAACACAAAAUCAAGGUGAAAUUGGCAAAACACAUGAACGAGUAAAUGAUGGAAAACAUGAAAGAAGGAGUAUAACUGCCAUAUGAAAAUCUGAUCACAAAGAUUUUGAAAGAUACUGGAUAUGAUUUCAAAGAUGAAGAGUUCAAGGAAGAAAGAACUAAAAUAGGAUAAUUAGUCCUACCAUCAAUGAAGUUUGAGAUGAUCAAUGGAAAAGUAAUUGAAAAUCCCCUCUCAAACAAGAAGAAAAUAAAAGCAAAUAGUCAAGAAGCACCCAUAGAGUUAGAUGACUUCGACUACUCUAUUCCUCAACUGCCCAUAAUAAUAAUAUCCUCAAAUUCAUAAUUGGAAAGAUAAUUGUGAUUAAUGACAAAAUUGACUUUCAUAACCCAACCAUUUAUCCCAGACCAAGCACAACUACCUAAAGGCCUUUUUCUUUGAUGAUUUUAACACAUAAUAGUCUCACUUAUGCGUUUGAACUCAUGCUCUCUAUAACUCUUAAAUUCAACAAUUUCUUUUCUUGUACUCUGAAUUCAUAGUAAUUUCUAUUAACAAAACAAGUUUUUCCUUUACUAAAUGUUUAUUUACCUAUGUUUUUAUAUUUAAAUUCAUCUUAGUGUAUAUUUAUCUGUCUUUUUUAUUUCUACAAAGGGGAAGAAGUGUACUCUCAGGGGGAGUAGAGUAUACUCUUUACCUAAUUGAGGGGGAGUUUGAUUACUCCAAAUAUUUAUUGUUGUUUAUAUUACACUACGCCAAAAACUGGAAUAGACAGCGCACCUUAGAGGGCGCUUUAUUACAAAAGCGCACUCUAAAGUGAAGCGAAAAAAUAAGGAGCGAACAAUUGGAAUAGACAGCGCACUUUAGAGGCGCUUUUUGUAAUCAAAGCGCCUCUCAGAGAGUGAAGCGAAAAAAAAUAAGAGAGGCAGAUAGAGGGAAACCAAUACAAGGCGCUUUUUAAAACGCCUCUAAGGUUACCCUUAGAGGGCGCGUUGUUGAAAAAGCGCUCUACUACAGUCCAUGUUGCAUUUCCAGUUUAAUAAAGCGCACUUAUUCGAAAGCCUUAGAGAGCGCUUUCAUAACGCGCCCCUUAGGCCCCUUAUUAGAGGCCUUUUUUUUCCACAAGCUCACUCUAAGGUCCCUUUAGUAAAACAUAAAAUAUAACAUUACUGCCGCCUCUGUUGUUACAUUCACACUCUCUGUUAUUUUCGUGUAAUAUCCUUUUCAACGUUAGCGUCUUUCAACUGCUACUAUAUUCGCUACUUUCUAAGGCGUUCUCCUUCCAGAAUAAGAAAUAAAGUUCCUCUGUUAGAUUCUACCGACGUUUCCUCCCUUCUUUUAAUCGUUGUUAGCUGUUCGUCUUUGACACAUAAAGGUUUUUCCUGUUCUUUCGGAUUUAGACGCUAUUUUCGAGUGAUGUAGCAAUUUUGGAUCCGGGUGUUGUUCAGGUUCGCCCGAAAGGAAACUCAAUUUGUAACGUUCCAGAAAUUAUAGACAUACUGGAAAAAUUUAUGUCAUUUAGGUUCUUGCUCGAUUUUAACUUGUGGUAGAGACAAUCUGGUCGCACUUUUACUUAUUGUGAGUCUGGCUUUUUUCGAUUAAUUUUGCAUUCACUUACUAUUUGUUGGGGGUAAUAAGAAUUAAUCCCUACUCCUUGCGGUUUUCUUCAUCUGGCAAUGGCUUUGGUCUUUUUGGUUGUUUCGAUAUCAUUUCUACUUGAAGGUAAUAAUAAUUUUUUGUUUGUUAUAUUUUUUGAACAUUUUUUUUUGUUUAUUUUUAUAUAUACAUAAAUCAUUAACUAGAUAUUACACAUGCAUUCAGCAUAAAUGUUCAGAACCAAUUUUUGUAACACAGAUUCACAGGAUUAUAUUAAUCAGUAAAUUCUUCUUUAUAUUUUGGUUUUUAUAUGGAUAAUAUAUUUAUGUUGACUUGCUCCAGGAUAUAUAUCACCCCAGAUUCUGAUGUUAUAUGCGACAUUGAGCCUCGUUCCGGUGCUGCGAAGCUUUGUGUUGUAAACAUACUAACUUUAAUUACACAAAUGGAUCGUUCUAUUGUUUGUUUCCCUAUAUUCAUUAUUAUAAAACUUUCAAUUCUUUCAGGUCAGGUUAUGCAUUCUCUCUGGGAUUAGGAGCAAUGCCAUGGAUAUAAAGUCUGAGGUACAAUUUUCUUCAAAUAAAAUAUGCAUCGACAACGCCUAAUGAACAAAACCUUGUGUAAUAUAAUGUGAUAGUUGAUGUGUUAAUAUAAUUUUACAUAUAUAGAUUCUUCCGAUUAACAUCAAAGGCCUAGCUGGAAGUUUGCAAACACUUGCCAAUGGUUCUUAUUCCUGGCUUGGUUACAUUAACACGCAAAUUUGCUCUUGGAUUGGACUUCGGGAGGUUUGUGUGCAUUGCCUAUGUUAAUUUUCUAUAAAUAUCAUUGUUUCUAACCAGAAGCUUCCUAUGUUUCAUCAGGAACCUUCACGAUAUAUACUAUCAGUGUGUGUUUUCACAGCAGGAUUUGUUGCCAUUUGGGUCCCCGAGACAAAGGGAAAAAACUCUUGAAGAAAUACAACAGUUUUUCAGAUGAAGUUUCCUUUCGAGUAGCACUCAGCUAGUGUUCACUCAUGUAUCUCACAUUCAUAUUUUUUCUGAAUCAAACUCAAUUCAUUUUUGUGCUCUUUGGUCUUGUUAAACAUAUGAAAAAUACCAAACAGUGUGAUUUUCUAAUCUAGCAGCAUACUUGCAUUUUGUUGUUGAAUUGAUUGAUUAUAAACAAAUAAAUGAAAGAGAAGUGGUUAUUAUACAUUUCAAUUACGAGUAGCAGUGGUUUCGGUUCAUGACAUUUCAAAUAGCAAGAGGAUCAUAUAAUACAAUAAGCAUUAUCAGUAUUUGUAUUUUAAUAUUAUAAAAGCAUAAAAAGAACCUUUAGUUUGCACUUUAUAUACACCAGCAUGUAUGCCAUUUGUGCACGGCUCUCUGUGUGCUGCAACAAAACCUGAAGUGAAUAUGGCACAGAGACAUGUGAAUGCAUGUAAAUUUAAUAAUCCACCCCAACUUUAGAGGGCGCUUCCAAAUAAGCGCCCUCUAACCCUUUAAAUUUCCACUUUAGAGGGCGCUUUCCAGUAAAAGCGCCCUAAACCCUUAAAGGUUUCCACUUUAGAGGGCGCUUUCCAGUAAAGUGCCCUCUAAGCUUAAAGUUCCACUUUAGAGGCGGCUUUCUUUAAAAAGCGCCCUCUAAAGUGGCCCUUAAAGGGCUUAAAGAGCCCACCUUUAGAGACGCUUUCCAGACCAAAGAAAAAAAGCGCUGUCUUUACCUAUGCCAGCGCCAGAUUAGAGGGCGCUUUAAAGCGCUGUUAUAGGCCAAAAAAAGCGCCCUCUUUUCCCUUAUUUGGCGUAGUGUUACCACAUCUAUGAGAGAUGAGUUGUCAUCAUAAAAAGGGGAAUAAAGCAAAACCUUAUUUUGCAAUUCAUAGAGCACGAUUUUGAUGAUGACAACUAUUAAAGAUGUUCAUGUCUUGGAUAGUGAUAACAACUAAAGUCAAGCAUAAAGCAGUUAAACGGUUAAAAAUGCAAACCAGGAUAUUUGGGUUUGAUGAGACUUGACUAUCUGAUGAUGGCAACCAAAAGAUAUAUAUUUCGAACCUCAUAUUGAAGUGAACUCAAGCAAGUAUCUACAAGAAAGAAAGCAUUUGACAAUUCUUGUAGUACAAAAAAUACCUGUCUCGAUUGUCUGAGUUAAUACUUUGUAAAGCAUGAAAGAAUUCUUGUAAAAUUGUAUGGAUAAAUCACACACACACGAAAAUAUUUUUGAAACUAGAACUGUUUUUCAAAAAUAUCUUGAAUUUGUGCCAAAUUAGUUAUAAGUUAUUUGAAAAGCUAUGAAGGAUUUUUUGUCUUUGCAAAUUGAUUGGCACAUUGACCCAAUCGAUUGGGUCAGUUCAAAAAUGUGCCCUAAACAAUUACGGCAACAUCUUAAUGAGUUGUAACGGAUAAACAUAUUUUAUUUACAUUUUUAACUUGGUAAUUGAUUAAUUUGGAGGCUACCAAUCGAUUGGUAUAUGCUACCAAUCAGUUGGCAAGUCAUAAAUUGGCCUUAAAAUAACUUCCUUUUUGAGCCAACCUAUAGUCAAUAGAUAGAGGUACCUUUACCAUAUUCCAAAUCAUCUAGAAACGUGUUUCAUUUCACAAUUCUCACUUUCUCUAUAAACGUUUCUUUUGUUUACUUUCCCUCACUAAGAAUUUAGCCGAAGUGUUUUUCGAGAAAGUCUUUUUGCGAGUGAGGAAGUUGUAAUUCUGGAAGGAUACAAUUUUAAGUUCACCAAGGAACUUUUUUUUAUACCUUGGUUGAAAAUUUUAUCCUAUUAUGGAUUAUUUUUUUAGGCUCGAAGCUAAACCCGUAAAAAGAUUAGGUUUGGGAUUUGUGUGAUCAAGUCUCUUGCUUAUCUUCUAGAUCAACCCGGUGACAUAAUCUCAUAUAUUUUUGGUUAGACCGUGAUAAAACCAAGAUUAGGUUAAAACAUAGUCCUAUAUUAAAAUCUUGUUUCGGUUUGAGAUCAACUCGAUGGUAAAAUCUCAUAGGUUAUUUGUUAGCCCAUUAUAAAGUCAAUGUUUAGGUUCGAGAGCUCAUCUUGGUGUUAAAAGCUCCUAAAGUUUAUUUGAAGCUUGAAGACUAAGCACUCCAAGAUUCUUAUGGAAAGGAGACUAACCACUUAGAUCCUCUGUUUGGAAGGAAGACUCACCGCUUCGCUUCAUAGUUUGUUGUUUGGUUGGAAGUUAGCCAUAAACUUCUUUUUUCCUUGUAUAAGGGGGUUCGAGAGUUUAAACUACUAAAACUCUUAAGUUUAUUGGAUAAUCUCAAGAAUAAUUCUUGGGGAGAGGAUUAGGUAUUUUUCUCUUUUGACGGAACCUCUAUAAUUUCCAGUGUCUUCUCUUUUCCCUUAACUCUUUAAUGUACACACUUUAGUUUCUGAAAGUUUAUUUUUUCCACUACAUAACUUUAGAGUUUUUCUAAAAAUAUUUUCUAACUCGGAUUUUAAUUCUAAUUUUUUUCAAAACUAUGUUUUUUUGAAACAAAUCAUUCACCCCCUCUUGUGUACGAAGUCACAUGUCCAACACAACUGACACAAGACACGCCGAAAGGCAUCCUUUUUAAGAGGAUCCUCAUAAAAAACUUCCUCUAGUUGAGCAUCUAACGUAACCUGUUUCUCCUGAAGAUUUUAUACUCCUUUCACAAGACUUUCCUCUCAUUCUGCCAACGCUUUUAUUGUACACUGAAGAACAACAAAUUCAAUCUCCGCCUCGAGCUUACUCUGAUAGACGUCAUCCUCCAUCUUCUUAAGUUGGUUCUUGAGGUCAUUCAUUUGCCUAACUAAUUUAGUCGGAGAUCCAUGAAGAUGAUCUUUUUCAGAAAGGAGGGAUGACCGCCCUAGACGACCCUACUUCUCUAGAGAAUCCUUUUAAUCCCAACCUUCUUUACCUCACUAGGGUUAUAACGAGUCCUCAAUGAUGUAACCUCCCGGGAUAAAAAAACAGAUGCAAAAAAUGUUUCAAGACCGACAACUAACUGAUUAAAGAGUGGUACCGUUCUCAUCACAUUGGUGGCUAUCUUCUUUACCAGGUCAAACCUACCAGAAGGGGGGAGUGGACUAACGUAGGCGUAAUCCCUUGCAGGCACAAAAUUGUUUAUCCCGUCUAUUGAUUGAAGAAAAUGACUAUCCAACAUUGAAGGUAGUCGAAGAGAAGCAUUUCCUUCCCUUUUAAUAUGAUCAACUACAGGAGCAACUUUCACUCCCCUCGACCUCUUUACUCGAUCUUGGCCAGCGACAAAUGAAUUGGUCAUGUCAUGCUUCUUCUUAGAUUGACAUUCCGAAUGAGGCAAAAAAAACAGAGGGACCCCGAGUUCCAGUAUAAUUAUGUUCCCAAUAACAUGACCUUUCUUGAACCUAUAUGAAAAAGUAAGAAAGAUCAACGAAUGAGAACUAAAUAAGUCCAUGUAUCCACGAAGAAAAAAGAUAUAAAAUGAAUUACCAAACACUCCUUUCCGUCCUUCCACAAAACUAGCUUUUUCCACUUUCAUACAGUGUAACAUCUCAUUAGAAAACAAGAGCAAAAUCGCUUUCAUAUCCCCCAUCAACCUGGUUUAGAGCUUCAAAGGAACCUAGUAAUAUUUAGGACCUUUAGAGAAAUGGUCAGGUUACCAGAAUCGUCACCUUCGGUCUGUGUAUUUAACUUGUCCAAUAGAAGGGGGAGAGACAACACAAAAUUCCUCGUGAGAAAGAGGAUAAAGGAAGUAAUCGUUCUUGAAAUACUUCCAUCUGUCGAUGUAGAUCUUGAAGAUCCAAUUCUUAAUAGAACAUAGAGAAACAAGCCCAUGACCAAUGACAUCCUUUGGGACAUGAUUUACCUCAAAGAGAUGCAAAAUAGGUCUCGAGAAGCUGGAGCCAUUUUCUAUGGUAUUCAUACAAAUACUAGAAUACUCUAACAAAACUCCAAGCACAUGGAUGAAGUUACGAAUGGUGAAUGCAUAGAUGGUCCAGAAAAUGAAGGAUUAAAAGGGGAUAACGCACCCUUCAAACUUGUGGCAUAUCCUUUUCUCAGAUGAAAUUGAAAAAAUAUCCCAAUCGGAGGAAACCCCUAUUUCCAAAAAAGCAGGGCAUAUUUCUUCCCCUUGAACGAAAAUAGAUUCGUAGGCUAAAUAGGUUGACUCGACCCAAGAGUAAUCUUCUACCGCUAUCACUUCCAUCAAAUUGGUUAGGUAAGCAAAUAUCUAAGUUUACAAAAUGAAACAGGUUAAUACGAUGAUGAUGGACGAAUAGGUAACGACAACAGAAAAGAGGAAAACUUGAGAACAAUGUCUAGCUUUUGUAAGAAGGGAUAAUACAAGGAUUGAUAGUUCAGAUUGAACAACAGGAGAAAAUAUGAGGGUAAUCAAUAUAUUGUCCCAUGAAUCCAAACGAUGACAAAAAAAACUUAAGUACCCUUUGUAGGGCAAUCGAUCCCUAACCUACACGCGUAGGGCGACGUGUUGGCAAGAAGAAGUGAAAAUGGCCCAUUGAUAAGAAAGCAUUAAAUGCGCUUGUCCCGUACUAUUUAUGCGACAAACUCUAAAUGUUUCAAUUUUGGAACAACAAAUAUGAAUUCUCAGAAAACCGACUCCAGUCACUAAAGACUCCUCAGUAUCCAAGGUACCCGGUAAGUCUUGGGGGCAACUGUUCUGCACCGGCCAAAAGACCCAUAAUAGCAAAGUCCGUAUUGGUUCACGCUGCUCAACCCAAGGUAUAAAUACCCUUCCACACCAAUUUCAAUUGCAUUCUCUAAUUUCUAGUAUUCACUACACUCAUCUUUAAUCUUAAACUGACUUCGAUGUUAGAAUGCUAUUCACCCCGCACCAUCGUAAAAGAGAUCAAUACCAUAGUUUAAGACCACCAAUUCUUCAACUAUAUUCAUUUCAGAUUCAUGAAGUGAACAACUAUAAUUAGAACUAAAAAGAUUAAAAUCAUUCCGCCCAAAAAUGAUCAUUACCAAUAAUUCUAAAUCCUAAGUGUUAAGUCCUAAUUCUACCUUUAUAAAUAUUUUAAUCAAUCCAAAAUUCUUCCACCCAAAUUAAUCAUUAUCUUAGAUGAUUAACAAAUUUAGCAAAUUUGAUAUGUAAACGGUCCUCAACAGAACCAUACUUUUAAUUAUCCAAAUUCACUCUUAGACUAAGAUUUCUUUUCUGUUUUUUUUUUCUAUCAUCUCCUAUUUGACUUUGUUUUUUAAUGAACAAGAAGAAAUAAAAUUAAUUAUUGGGUCUCCAAUGUUUAACCAAUUUCAAAUUUGCGUACCUAGACAUGUUUUUUUCUUCUUCUUAUGAAAUGGUUUGGGAUCACGUCACAUCUAGUAGUUUAGUGUUACGAUCAUGGAGUCCCAAAUCAUGUUAAAGUAAUGCUUGUUUUAUUUUUUAUUACUUUGUUACAAAUUAUGUUAUGGCCAUAUCUCUACAUAGUCUUGUCACUAAUCAUGUGGUAAAAGAAUGAUUAUGAAAUGAGAAAUUCAUAUUUUCUUCUUUAAAAAAAACACUAUAGCCAAUUGAGAGAAAAUAAUGUAGAUACUUUUUACCUUUUAGAUCUUCAUUCACACACAAAAAAUAGACUUUGGAUCAUCGACUCUAAUAAUAUACAUCAUAAUAUGUUGUACCAACAAUCCUUUCAUUCAAAUAACACACAAUAAUGUAUUCCAUUUAUCAUAUGCAGAGAUUUAUGAUUCAAGCUUUUAGCUACACUUUACACAAGAAAACCAAACACAAACCAACCACAAUUCUCAUAACCUUUCAACAAAAUCAAAUAUUUCAAUCUGCUGAAGAGAGAUCCAUGACCACAUUAAUUAUAUUAUUCUAAAAAACCAAACACACAUGUGUACUCAUACACACAAUUAAACAUAAUGGUUUCAAUAUCUCUGCUUCAAGCUUUUAUAUGUUACACUUCAUUUGCAGUUGCAAGGGUCACAAGUGCAGUUAUCACCACACUUGCAGCCACCAUCCUCAGAAGCAGCACUCAUUUCAGCACCUUCAAACUGGAUCUUCGCCGGACCGACGCCAAGAAUCACGGUUUCGGUGGUUUCCAUUUCGGAGUAGCUCAAUCCACUAGACCUCUUGUUGCAUCUGUCAAGCAAAACAAAUCAAUUAUAAACUUGGUUGUCAAAAUAAAGGUUUUCGAAAGACGUUACACGAAAAAGGUUUUCAAAUCGAUAUCGAUAUGUUAUUCAACGUUUUUAUGAUAAAGAAGAAAUUGUGAUUAAUUCACACCGCAACGACGACAAUCACGAAAAUCUUUACCCGACUGCAAUCGCACCUAAACCAACCGAAAUUAGAAAACUCUUUACACGAUUGCAAUCAACACUUAAACCAACCGAAAUCAGAAAAGCCUUUACGCGACUACAAUCGACACUUAAACUAUCGCGACAGCACGAUCCUUAUUUUAAACCUCAAAAUUAUGCGUUUACACAUAAAAUUGCCCAAUUUCACUACACAAAAUGAUUUAACAUAGAAUUAUGAACCAUAUUCAUAGUCUUAGAAUUUAGAUUCAGCCUAAUUCAUUUAUAAAAAACAAUCCGUCUAUAUUAAAUUUAUUUUUCUCAUGCUCAGAUCAUAUAUUAUUCGAUGCGAUAAAACUAAACAAAUUAUUUAAAAAAAUCUCCAAAGAAUCAUCUAUAUGAUUAAAAAUAGACAUACAAA
rnacentral:lncRNA from 1 species